rnacentral:rRNA from 1 species
AUUGCACGCUGGCGGCGUGCCUAAUACAUGCAAGUCGAACGGAGUGGCGCACGGGUGAGUAAUGUAUAGCUAAUCUGCCCUACACUAGAGGACAACAGUUGGAAACGACUGCUAAUAAUCUAUAGUGUAGGAUGAAGCUAUAUUGUAUCCACUAGUUAGUGAGGUAAUGGCUCACCAAGGCUAUGACGCAUAACUGGUCUGAGAGGAUGAUCAGUCACACUGGAACUGAGACACGGUCCAGACUACUACUGGAGGCAGCAGUAGGGUAGAUUGCUCAAUGGGGGAAACCCUGAAGCAGCAACGCCGUGUGGAGGAUGACACUGUUCGGAGCGUAAACUCAUUUUGUUAGGGAAGCGGUACCUAACGAAUAAGCACCGGCUAACUCCGUGCCAGCAGCCGCGGUAAUUC